AGAGUUUGAUCAUGGCUCAGAUUGAACGCUGGCGGCAGGCCUAACACAUGCAAGUCGAACGGUAACAGGAAGAAGCUUGCUUCUUUGCUGACGAGUGGCGGACGGGUGAGUAAUGUCUGGGAAACUGCCUGAUGGAGGGGGAUAACUACUGGAAACGGUAGCUAAUACCGCAUAACGUCGCAAGACCAAAGAGGGGGACCUUCGGGCCUCUUGCCAUCGGAUGUGCCCAGAUGGGAUUAGCUAGUAGGUGGGGUAACGGCUCACCUAGGCGACGAUCCCUAGCUGGUCUGAGAGGAUGACCAGCCACACUGGAACUGAGACACGGUCCAGACUCCUACGGGAGGCAGCAGUGGGGAAUAUUGCACAAUGGGCGCAAGCCUGAUGCAGCCAUGCCGCGUGUAUGAAGAAGGCCUUCGGGUUGUAAAGUACUUUCAGCGGGGAGGAAGGGAGUAAAGUUAAUACCUUUGCUCAUUGACGUUACCCGCAGAAGAAGCACCGGCUAACUCCGUGCCAGCAGCCGCGGUAAUACGGAGGGUGCAAGCGUUAAUCGGAAUUACUGGGCGUAAAGCGCACGCAGGCGGUUUGUUAAGUCAGAUGUGAAAUCCCCGGGCUCAACCUGGGAACUGCAUCUGAUACUGGCAAGCUUGAGUCUCGUAGAGGGGGGUAGAAUUCCAGGUGUAGCGGUGAAAUGCGUAGAGAUCUGGAGGAAUACCGGUGGCGAAGGCGGCCCCCUGGACGAAGACUGACGCUCAGGUGCGGAAGCGUGGGGAGCAAACAGGAUUAGAUACCCUGGUAGUCCACGCCGUAAACGAUGUCGACUUGGAGGUUGUGCCCUUGAGGCGUGGCUUCCGGAGCUAACGCGUUAAGUCGACCGCCUGGGGAGUACGGCCGCAAGGUUAAAACUCAAAUGAAUUGACGGGGGCCCGCACAAGCGGUGGAGCAUGUGGUUUAAUUCGAUGCAACGCGAAGAACCUUACCUGGUCUUGACAUCCACGGAAGUUUUCAGAGAUGAGAAUGUGCCUUCGGGAACCGUGAGACAGGUGCUGCAUGGCUGUCGUCAGCUCGUGUUGUGAAAUGUUGGGUUAAGUCCCGCAACGAGCGCAACCCUUAUCCUUUGUUGCCAGCGGUCCGGCCGGGAACUCAAAGGAGACUGCCAGUGAUAAACUGGAGGAAGGUGGGGAUGACGUCAAGUCAUCAUGGCCCUUACGACCAGGGCUACACACGUGCUACAAUGGCGCAUACAAAGAGAAGCGACCUCGCGAGAGCAAGCGGACCUCAUAAAGUGCGUCGUAGUCCGGAUUGGAGUCUGCAACUCGACUCCAUGAAGUCGGAAUCGCUAGUAAUCGUGGAUCAGAAUGCCACGGUGAAUACGUUCCCGGGCCUUGUACACACCGCCCGUCACACCAUGGGAGUGGGUUGCAAAAGAAGUAGGUAGCUUAACCUUCGGGAGAGCGCUUACCACUUUGUGAUUCAUGACUGGGGUGAAGUCGUAACAAGGUAACCGUAGGGGAACCUGCGGUUGGAUCACCU
rnacentral:rRNA from 1 species